GACAGAGGAGCCAAGCGUUGUCCGGACUGACUGGGCGUAAAGCGCCCGCAGGCGGCCGUGCGCGUGGGGUGUGAAAGCUCGCGGCUUAACUGCGAGAGGCCAUCCCAUACGGCACGGCUCGAGCCGUCCAGAGGCCGGUGGAAUUGCCGGUGUAGUGGUGAAAUGCGUAGAGAUCGGGAGGAACACCAGUGGCGAAGGCGACUUCUUGGCCUGUUCUUGACGCUGAGGCGCGAAAGCUGGGGAGCAAACGGGAUUAGAUG
rnacentral:rRNA from 1 species